UACGUAGGGUGCGAGCGUUAAUCGGAAUUACUGGGCGUAAAGCGUGCGCAGGCGGUUCGCCAAGUCAGGUGUGAAAUCCCCGGGCUUAACCUGGGAAUUGCGCUUGAAACUAGCGGGCUUGAGUGUGGCAGAGGGGGGUGGAAUUCCACGUGUAGCAGUGAAAUGCGUAGAGAUGUGGAGGAACACCGAUGGCGAAGGCAGCCCCCUGGGUCAACACUGACGCUCAUGCACGAAAGCGUGGGGAGCAAAAGGG
rnacentral:rRNA from 1 species